AGCGAACGCUGGCGGCAGGCCUAACACAUGCAAGUCGAACGAACUCUUCGGAGUUAGUGGCGGACGGGUGAGUAACACGUGGGAACGUGCCUUUAGGUUCGGAAUAACUCAGGGAAACUUGUGCUAAUACCGAAUGUGCCCUUCGGGGGAAAGAUUUAUCGCCUUUAGAGCGGCCCGCGUCUGAUUAGCUAGUUGGUGAGGUAAAGGCUCACCAAGGUGACGAUCAGUAGCUGGUCUGAGAGGAUGAUCAGCCACAUUGGGACUGAGACACGGCCCAAACUCCUACGGGAGGCAGCAGUGGGGAAUCUUGCGCAAUGGGCGAAAGCCUGACGCAGCCAUGCCGCGUGAAUGAUGAAGGUCUUAGGAUUGUAAAAUUCUUUCACCGGGGACGAUAAUGACGGUACCCGGAGAAGAAGCCCCGGCUAACUUCGUG
rnacentral:rRNA from 1 species